UACGUAGGUGGCAAGCGUUGUCCGGAUUUACUGGGCGUAAAGAGCGCGCAGGCGGUCGUUCAAGUCGCGUGUGAAAGCCCCCGGCUCAACUGGGGAGGGUCACGCGAUACUGAUCGACUGGAAGGCAGGAGAGGGUAGUGGAAUUCCCGGUGUAGUGGUGAAAUGCGUAGAUAUCGGGAGGAACACCAGUGGCGAAGGCGACUACCUGGCCUGUUCUUGACCCUGAGGCGCGAAAGCUAGGGGAGCAAACGGG
rnacentral:rRNA from 1 species